rnacentral:misc_RNA from 1 species
UCUCCGUUGGUGAACCAGCGGAGGGAUCAUUACAGAGUUGCAAAACUCCCAAGCCUUUGUGAACGUUACCUAUCCCGUUGCUUCGGCGGGCGGCCCGGGCCCCGCCCCCGGCGCCCCCCGGCCCCCCGUGGGCGCCCGCCGGAGGUAAACCAAACCCUUGAAUUGCAUGGCCUCUCUGAGUCUGCUGUACUGAAUAAGUCAAAACUUUCAACAACGGAUCUCUUGGUUCUG